rnacentral:rRNA from 1 species
UACGUAGGGGGCAAGCGUUGUCCGGAAUCAUUGGGCGUAAAGAGCGCGUAGGCGGUCUGUCGCGUCGGCUGUGAAAACCCGGGGCUCAACCCCGGGCCUGCAGUCGAUACGGGCAGACUAGAGUGCGGUAGGGGAGACUGGAAUUCCUGGUGUAGCGGUGAAAUGCGCAGAUAUCAGGAGGAACACCGGUGGCGAAGGCGGGUCUCUGGGACGGUACUGACGCUGAGGCGCGAAAGCGUGGGGAGCAAACAGG